ensembl:lncRNA
AGAAAGCAAAAGUAUUUCCAGUCUCCUCCUGACGCACUGUCACAGAAGAUCUCUGUCCUUGUAUUUAGGGAUACACAUCCAUAUACUUGCCUGAACGUGUGAGUCCUUGGAAUUACGGAUUCAUUGCCGGUAGCUGGUGAUCUCCUACGCAGAAGGUCGCUAACUACAAGAAAUGUUACGUGCGGUGCUGGUCUUCUGAACAAAUGCCCCCUGAGGAAUUCUGUGCCUGGAGAAUAUCUGUCUACAGAUUUCUUUUGACGCCCUAUGUAAGUAGAGGCUUGUGCUUAAAACUCAGUCUCACGGGAGCUUUGUUUUAUUUUGUUCCUGGAGGAUCCCCCGGUAAGUUUUUUUUAGGUGGUCAUCAGUGUUUGAUCUCGGUUUUUUUUCUCUAAAACACUCAACUUCCAAUUUACUAUCAGAAAAAGUCUGUAACACGAACUUCUGCUCAAAAUCAAGGGUAUGGAUCCCAUGUUCAGGUCUCAGAAUGGGAAGAGGAGAAAGCAGAAAAUAUGAAAACCACUCACUUGGGUCAAUUCAGUUGGAGAUGCCAUUUGUAGAUCCGAGGGCAUCUUUUCAGGGUUUAGUAUUCAUCAGACUCCUCUGUGGUUAGCGACUGUGGAAUGUGCCCCGUACAGCUCAGGGUGUGGGCACGGGAUCCGGGAGCCCUUCCGUUUGGGAGCCGUGACAGAUCUCUUAGCCACAUCUCUGCUUAUAACAGGCUGAAGGAAAACUGAUAUCUUAUUUUUAUCGUUGUAACCGUCAUUUAUUGAAUGUGUACAUGUGCUAUUUCCAGUUCCACUCGCUUCUCCUUCUCUGUCUUAAUUCUCACAACAACCUUACGUGGUAGGUCUUGUUAUUACCCUGAUUUCACAGAUGAGGAGACCGAGGCACAGAGAGUCAAGUAACUUCCCCCAGUUUGUGCGGGGAGCGAAUUCCAGAACUUGACGUUCCAGCCCCAGAAGUCUGCGUUGGACCAUCCCACCAAACUGCCCCAUAGAAACGAGCAGCUUUGGAGGACGAGCUGGUGGGCUGUAUUUGGAGACGGUGUUUUAGCACUGCCACGAUCCCAUGCGGGAGGGGGCUGCUGGACUUACAAAGGCUUGAGCUUGCUUAAGACUAGUAGGAGAACCAGGCUUUAGAGACGAUGUGACUUGCUUAUGGUCACGCCGCAAGUCAGAAUGUGGCGGAGGGUCUGGGGCCAAAUCCUACCGGUUUCCAAGUUUUCUCCUUCCUCUUGGUUGUUAGGUGCCGCUUCUGCUGUUCGAGACCAAAGCUGGUUUCAGUGGUUUGCUCACGUGCUUAUGGACGAAACCCUGCACCUCAGAGCCCGUUUAUGUUCAGAGGUCCACAUGGCCAUGUGAAGAUUGGCCGUUACAGUAUCUAUAAAGCACCAAGCAGCAAAGAAUGAUCGGCGUGCUGAGGCUCGGCAAAAUUAAAUGAUUGCCCAAGAUCCCACAGCUAGUCAACAGCACAGCCAGAACUUCAGCUUGGAGCCAGAACUCCAGAUCCUGCGCUACUUAUUUAUCUGCUUCCUGUAAGAAAGUAUUCAUUAAAGGCACGUAAGUCAACAGAGAGCUAACUCCCCACCGUACGAUCCAGCACCUUCCAACCGAUAACAGUUGCAUCUUUAGUCUGGCCUGGAUAUUUGGGUUAGGACUCUUGUAUCCUGAAGUCUGUAACGUUCUGAAGCUACCUUCUUUAAAGACGCGUCAUAGUCAGAUACUGUCUCCUUGUGAAAUAUCCUCACGCCCCGGGGGACGUUAUCUUAAUCCAGUUUGCUCGUGCAAGAAGAGACUGGCAUUUCACUUCAAGGAAAGACAACGUGUUUCCACUGUUCCGCUUUUGCCACACAGGAGUUACCGGUGUGGCUUAUUGAUUGACAUUUCAGGCUCUAACUUUCCUAUCAGAUCUGGAAGAAAAAAAAAAAACAAAGAAUGGCAGCUUGCUCCAGAACAGCAUGAAGUAAGGAAUCGCAGGUGGGAUUUUGAAAUAGAAACACAUUCUUGUAGCCCCUAUGCUGAGAGACACCAAGGAGGGAUUUUGUUCUUGAAAGGUGAGCACUUUAAUGUGGAGGUGGAGAGUUUAACAAUGUUAAGUGUGUGUUCUGUGUGUAAGAAAGAGUUGUUAAAAAAUAACAUUCCUUUCAAACGAUGCAGUACCUUAAAACUGUCAAUGGUUAAAGUAGAGACACCCUGAGUUACAGGAGUUCGGCCCUGCCGUCUCCUGCCCUGAAAAUACAGAACAAUCAGGUUGAUUGUUGGAGGUUGGAGGAUGGGGAGGAGUGGAAACAUGCUGAUGUUUACUGAGUAAGAUCUUUCCUUGCAGUUGACUGUCACUGAAAGACUCAACAAAGUAAGCAGAGGGCUUCCCUGGUGGCGCAGUGGUUGAGAGUACGCCUGCCGAUGCGGGGGACGCGGGUUCGUGCCCCCGUCUGGGAAGAUCCCACGUGCCGCGGAGCGGCUGGGCCCGUGAGCCGUGGCCGCUGAGCCUGCGCAUCCGGAGCCUGUGCUCCGCAACGGGAGAGGCCACAACAGUGAGAGGCCCGCGUACCG